UACGGAGGGUGCGAGCGUUGUUCGGAAUCACUGGGCGUAAAGCGCGUGUAGGCGGCUUCUUAAGUCCGAUGUGAAAGCCCGGGGCUCACCCCCGGAAGUGCAUUGGAUACUGGGAAGCUGGAGUACCGGAGAGGAGGGUGGAAUUCCUGGUGUAGCGGUGAAAUGCGCAGAUAUCAGGAAGAACACCCGUGGCGAAAGCGGCUCUCUGGAACGGUACUGACGCUGAGACGCGAAAGUGUGGGGAGCGAACAGG
rnacentral:rRNA from 1 species